rnacentral:lncRNA from 1 species
CUGCGAUCCACCUACCUUGGCCUUCCAAAGUGCUGGGAUUACAGGCGUGAGCCACCAUGCCCAGCCGCUUCAUCUUUCUUUACUCAUGAAUGUCCUAAGCUUUGUAUUCACAGCUGUUCUCAUGCAUUCAUUCCAUGCCGGCCUUAGAGGACUCGGUCAAGACAAUGGUGCCCUCAGGAAGGUUACGAGAGAGCAAGCUGUGCUGCUUUGCCCAUCUUGGGAUGAGUGGCACUUCAUUACUGAGCCAUAAAACAACGGGGCCCAGCAGGUUCCUGGGCAGUCAAAUGGUCCAACCCUCUUGACUUAGAGAUGCGGAAAAUGAGGCCUUGGGGACAAUGCUGUGUCCAGCCAUAAUGGAGCCCACAGCAAAAGGAAGAAUCAGUAAUAUUGAUCCUAUAUUUAUUUAAAUGUCUGGUAUUUUGUUCAUUAUAGAUUUUUGCAUUAAUUUUUAUUUUUAAAAUGUUACAUUAAAAUAGUCUGUAUCUUGAUGACUGAGUAUUUUUGGUGCCUCUUAAAGUGUGCACCCUGAGCCUGGCCCUGACAGGGACAAUAGGGAGUUGCCCAAGGUGACACUAGUUUUGAUCAAGAGGUUAAAAGAGAGCUUGGGUCUUCCAACUUGUCCACUUCCUUCUUCUCUGUCAGCUUCAAGUGCAAAGUCCUGUUUUUCCAAAUAAGUAGAGAGCUCCAGCAGGCAGGGUGGUGAACUUGUGGAAUAAUAACACUUUCACAUGGUUAUUGCCCAGCCAAAGAAGCAACCAUUUGAAAAUUCAAGAAAUUGCAGAUUUAUUCCUUAAAUAAGGCACUGUUGUUGAAAUAGUAUCAAAAUAUUGAUACUGCAAUGAGAUAAGAGACCUAGGAACACAUGCCAGAAUGUGGACCGUUGGCCCAGCCCAAUCCUCUCUCACCUGCACUGCUUCAGAAACCCCUUCCUUUCCUUCCAAACCCAGCUGACAUCUUUCCAAAGAGUUUUGUGUUUCUGAUCGGGCUUCGCUGCACUUGUGUUUCUCCCACUCAUCUGGUUCUCAGGGCAUAGAACACAGCCCCAGGUACACAGAGAGUGAACAAUCUUCAACAACUGGGCACCAAGGAUCCUGCUCCUUUUUCUUUGUAAUAGCUGCAUGACAUGGUCUUCUCCUGUAUCGAUGUACAAGCUGCCUAUUGAUAGACUUUCAGUUGCUUCUUUUUGUUCUCUCUCUCUCUCUUGUUCUCUCUUUUCUUAUCUUUUUGGCCCCCUUUUUCUCCAGUGUUCUCCACUGCAGAGUCGUGUAAUUCCCUCACAGUUUUCUCAGAGCGAGUACAUAUUCCCUGCCCAGCAUCAGCGUUGCUUGCCAUUAAUGUCCUGUAUCUAUAGGGAUGACCAUGCCCCCUUGGAGGAAAGGCUUGGAACUUACCAACUUAUGGAAACUUACGGAAAUCAUCACUUGGUAUUGAGAUUUUGCAGGGAACACACUCCUUAAAAAUCUCCAUGAGUGUGCUGUUAAGAAUCCCAUAAAGAGGGAGAAAGGUGGGAAGUGAGUGAAGCAAGGCUCAGCCGCCACCACGAACAAAGUGGGGUCCACUUUGCAUCUGCUGCAAAGGAAGGAACGGACAUUUGGCCUGUCUCCUCUUCCUUUAUUGUGUCAUGUUCUUUCCUUUACUCUUCUCUUUUUUAAAACAAGAAAAUCAUAAUUUUAAUAUUAUUUUAAAAAUAGACAAUACAUUCACACAAUUCAAAAUUCCAGUAGUUGGCCAGACACAGUGGCUCAUGCUUGUAAUCCCGGCAC